rnacentral:rRNA from 1 species
GAGUUGUUGCUGAUCUCCAUGUAUGGGGGCAUGUGCACGCUCUGUUUACACAUCCACUUACACCUGUGCACCCUCUGUAGUUCUGUGGCUUGUGGGGCUCCGCCCUCCUGCUGUGGUUCUACGUCUUUACACACACACUGUAAUAAAGUCUCAUGGAAUGUAUGUCGCGUUUAACGCAAUGAAAUACAACUUUCAGCAACGGAUCUCUUGGCUCUCGCAUCGAUGAAGAACGCAGCGAAAUGCGAUAAGUAAUGUGAAUUGCAGAAUUCAGUGAAUCAUCGAAUCUUUGAACGCACCUUGCACCCUUUGGCUAUUCCGAAGGGUAUGCCUGUUUGAGUAUCAUGAACACCUCAACUCUCAUGGCUUGCCAUGAUGAGCUUGGACUUUGGGGGUCUUGCUGGCCUGUGAGUCAGCUCCUCUCAAAUGAAUUAGCUUGCCAGCGUUUGGUGGCAUCACAGGUGUGAUAACUGUCUACGCUUGUGGUUUUCCACCAGGUAACCUUCAGCAAUGGAGGUUCGCUGGAGCUCAUAAAUGUCUCUCCUCGGUGAGGACAGAUUUUUGACCGUUUGAUCUCAAAUCAGGUAGGACUACCCGCUGAACUUAA